GAUGAACGCUGGCGGCGUGCCUAAUACAUGCAAGUCGAGCGAACAGACGAUGAGCUUUCUCCUCUGACGGUAGCGGCUGGCGGGUGAGUGACACGUACAUAACCUACCUCUUUUACUUGGAGGACUACGUGAAGCCGCAUCUACUACCAGCGCAUAUAUUGUACCGCUUGAAUCAAUAGUUAUUGACAGUUUUGCUGUCAGUUUUAGCUGGUUCCGGGCCGCAUUAGCUAGUUGGUAAGGUACCGGCUUACCAAGGCAACGAUGCGUAGCCGACCUGAGAGGGUGAUCGGCCACACUGGAACUGAGACACGGUCCAGACUCCUACGGGAGGCAGCAGUAGGGAAUCUUCGGCAAUGGGCGAAAGCUUGACCCAGCAACGCCGCGUGAGUGAUGAAGGUCUUCGGGUCGUAAAACCCUGUUAUUGGGGAAGAACAAAUGUGUAAGUAACUAUGCACGUCUUGACGGUACCUAAAGAGAAAGCACCGGCUAACUUCGUG
rnacentral:rRNA from 1 species